UAAAAGAAUACAUUUUGUAAUAUGCAGGUUUAAGAAACGUUUCAUUAUUUAAUGGAAUGCACUGCAAAUGAACAGAAAACAAAUUUUCUUUUUGAGGCAGCAUGUCUUGUUUUUAUAUUUUACAAUAUGAUCUGAUUAUUUUGUUGAUGUAUUGUAUUUAAGUCAGAAAAUGUUAAUACUUCAGUGUCAGUAUUUAUUUAUAUGUGUGAACUUGUUUUGAAUCAUUCCAGAUUUCUGAAUACAUGUAUGUAUUUAAAGUACAAAAAUGAUCAAAUUUUCUUUUUAAUUUUAUACACCUUUGCAUUGGUGAUUUUUCUUUCUAUUUUUAAUGAUGUGUAAUUCUUGAAAUUCUUCUCAAUUUAUGCUUGUAGUGUAUAAAAAUGCUCAGUAACGACCUCUCAUUGGAUUCAACAUUGGUAUUUGUUUUCCUACUGAUAUCUAUGGUUACUGUUUUUUUUUAACUUCAAUAUGUAUGGUUGAAAAGAAUUUAGAAUGUGUUUUACAUAAUAUUGUUGAUAAUUAUGGUCAAAUAUAAAAAAGAAGAUGUGGUAUGAUUGCCAAUGAGACAACUAUACACAAAAGACCAAAAUGACACAGAUAUUAACAACUGCAUGGUUUUUUUUUUUUUUUUCAUAUACAACAAAUAUUUGGGCUUCAUAGAUACUAUUAUAUAAGAAUUUUGAUUUUUGAAUAGUCUAAAUGAAUUGUAAAUACAAAUGUAUUACUUAUUUAUGUGACAUUAUAAGUUUGGUGAUGAUAUGUAAGGAGAAAGUAUGUGCUUUAAUGGGUUAUAUACACAUUUGGCCUGUACAUCUGAUCUCAAACAAUGGUUGUGUUUUUUCUAAAUGAUGGAAAGGUAUCCAUUACAUACAAUAUUUUCUAAAACAUUGAAGGAAUUCCAGUUAAUGCUUAUUGACCAUUCUCAUUAUAAUAUUUAAUAGAAAGAUUUUGUAGGUUGUGGUAGCAAAUCAUUUCAUAAUUUAAAUUCUUUCACCCAUAUUUGUAAUAUCCACAUGUACAUCAACUUUAUUAUUCUAUUAGCAUAAUCUUUUGAUUUCUAUAUUAAAAAAUGUGGAUUGCAUCUCUCUUCUACAAGGUGCUGGAUGGGAAAGAGGGUAAGCUUAAAUUCUGUAUUCUUUAAAUUAUUUAGGUCACUUUUCUCUAUUCUCAAUUUAAUCCAGUUCAUCAAGAACAUUUAUAACACUAUUUUACUAGUAAAAGCACAGACAUUCUUUCUUGAUUUUUAUUAUCUGAAUCAUGUAUUUUGUUGGAGUUUUCAAUAGAAUAAACAUUUAUUUUACCAUUUCUAUAUUUAGAAUAAUCAUAGAAAGUUUGUAAAGAGAAAGUACAUUAAUUAUUUUAUUCAAGACCAACCUCUACAUAAUGUGAUAUU
rnacentral:lncRNA from 1 species